GCCCUGGGAAGUGCGGUCCUCAGCUCUCCAGACUCAUGAAGGCCACCACCUGCUCCAGCUUGAAGGCCAGCCUCUGUUUCCUGGCUGCAUCAUCCUGCUCCAGUGAACACACAAUCUGCCAGUCGGACAGAGAGUCUGGAUGGAUGGUGGAAUUCAUUUGAACUGGUGUGUAUCCAUGCUGACUACAGCUGCUGUGCUUCACAGACAAUCUUGUGAGGAACACCUUUGAAGCUACCAGCACCUGCAGCCGCUUGAGGACAAGCCCAGUGUUUGGCUGGAUAAUUCUGGGCGUGUGUGAGAGAGAGAGAUGACAUUUGCCAGGAAACAAGUCUUCAGAGCAAACUGAGCAAAGGAAAAGGCAGUAUCCAGAUCUUUGAAUCAGCAGAGGACCUUCAUCAUUUCCUCACAUUUGUGUUCAUGAGAGACCACAUACAGACAAACAUAGGACUAAUGAGUACGGUCCUGAGCCUGAAGCUCCUCAUUUGGUUCUACCCAUUCAAGCAGUGCACAUAUAUUCUCAUCCUGAGGCUUGCCCUGUGACGAAGCUACAGACACGAAUACACUGAACCGCUUCACAGUACCCCAUCUUUUAUUCAGGGCUUCUUCGCCUUCCCUGCUGACAAAUAAAUUUAAUAAAAUUCUCAUUUUAACAAAUUACCGUUCUGCUGCCUGCUACUCUCAAAAAUGCUUUCUCCCUCUCUCUUUUUUCUUUCCCCACACACACUUCUGCACCCUCCCAACACACCAGCUCCCUGUACUGUAGAUCUCAUGCCCUGGGCGCACCCAUCCAUUCCCACUGUGUUGUAAUUUGGAUUGUGUUUCAUGGCCCAUAGAUCACAGUGCUACAGUCAUAUUGUAUGUGUUGGAAUGAAACAUGGCUAAUGCAGGUUUUCUGAUGUUUUCACUCACAUAAGAGCCCACCCCCACACACAUUUCCUCUCUUCAUCCAUCCAGUGUUUGGUGUGUACACUUGUGUGCUUCUAUCAACGGC